rnacentral:rRNA from 1 species
AGUAACGACGUGGGUAACCGUCGCCCUUAAGUCUGGGAUACCAUUUGGAAACAGAUGCUAAUACCGGAUAAAAGCUACUUUCGCAUGAAAGAAGUUUAAAAGGCGGCGUAAGCUGUCGCUAAAGGAUGGACCUGCGAUGCAUUAGCUAGUUGGUAAGGUAACGGCUUACCAAGGCGAUGAUGCAUAGCCGAGUUGAGAGACUGAUCGGCCACAUUGGGACUGAGACACGGCCCAAACUCCUACGGGAGGCAGCAGCA